rnacentral:misc_RNA from 1 species
GAUGAAGAACGCAGCGAAAUGCGAUAAGUAAUGUGAAUUGCAGAAUUCAGUGAAUCAUCGAAUCUUUGAACGCACCUUGCGCCCUUUGGCAUUCCGAAGGGCAUGCCUGUUUGGGUAUCAUGAACACCUCAACUCUUCAUGGUUUUCCAUGAUGAGCUUGGACUUUGGGGGUCUUGCUGGCCUGCGGUCGGCUCCUCUCAAAUGAAUCAGCUUACCAGUGUUUGGUGGGCAUCACAGGUGUGAUAACUAUCUGCGCUUGUGGUUUUCCACCAAGUAACCUUCAGCAGUGGAGGUUCACUGGAGCUCACAGACGUCUCUCCUCAGUGAGGACAGCCCUUUGAAUGUUUGAUCUCAAAGCAGGUAGGACUACCCGCUGAACUUAAGCAUAUCAAUAAGCGGAGGA